GGAGGCUGCGCACUUGCUCACUUCCUGCCCACCCUAGGUUUAGCUGCUGACCUUUGGUCUCCGGUUUAGGUCGUGAAUUGCAUCCUGGACCUUGACAACCCCGUGUUGUGCGGGUCCUCUUCUGACACUCUCACUGCGCGGCCUGAAUCCUUACUCUCACCCCGCACUACGUGACUAAAGGAAAAAGAAAAUGGCACGGAAUGGUACGGCUGACUUCCACAUAGAGACAUUAACAUUUUAUCAGUUGCUUCCUUUCUAUUUUUCUGAAACAAAACAAAACAAAACAAUGGGACAGAUGUGAUUUGAGCUUACAUACAGGAUCAUAGUCACAGGACUCACAGGUCCUAGCCAGCAUCAUGCUUUACAAACCGUCUCAGAGCACCGAGUUACCCAGAGGCCCAGACAAAGCAGACACUGGUAGGAGGUCUCAACACUUCGGAUCUUUCCUCUGGCACAAACUGUCUUCUAAAAGCUAAUCAGGAAACAAUAAUAUAAACCCUACAUAGGCAGUUGUGUUCAGAUAUUUUUUAAACAAAGGAUAUCCAAAAUGCAUUAUUUGUAAAAAAAAAAAAAAAAAAACAAAAAAAAACAACAACAACAAAAAACCAACAAAAAAAAAAAUAACAAACCUGGAACUUUUGGUACAUGGCACACACUGCUAUCCCAGACCUUGGGAAGUGGAAGAAGAACUAUCAGGAAUUCAAAGUCAAAGUCAUCCUUGCCUAUACAACAAUUUCAAAGCAAGCCUGUGCUACAUAAGACCCUGUUUCAACCAACAACAACAAAAAAAUAUAAAGAAUCAAACAAAACCUCCUAAAGCAAAACUAUUAAAUAUGCUUUGAAUUUUUAAAUUAAAUUUAAUGUCUAUGCCUGGUGCCUGCAGAGGCCAGAAGAGGAUGUUGUAUCUGAGGGCACAACAGUUCCCUGAGGGAACUGGAGUUAUGUAAGGUGUAUGGUGCAUGUGAACCCUGGGAAUCAAAUUCAGUCUUCUAGAAAGCAGCCAGUGUCCUCAACUGCAGAACCAUUUCUCCAGUCCCAAAAUUACAUCCACAAGUGGUUCUAGACAGCAAAUGAGUUGGGUCAAGAUAGCAAACUAUGUAGGGGACAAGUCAAAUGGUGUGUGUUGUUACUAUGCUUAACAAAUGAAAGUUAUAAAUCGGUUUAGGUCAGUCAUAAGAGUGUUCAUGCUUGAGGUGCUGGGUUUGACUCCACCCCCCACUCCCAAACCACAAAGCAAUAAUAAAGCCAUGAAUAUCCACAGGAAAGGACCUGGUCCUUUGCCAUCUGUGGCUGUUGAAAGCUCACACUUGCUUUUACUUUACUAUCCUUUGUUGAGAACUCAGAGAAGGCAGAGGUUUUAAUGGUUAAGCAACACCAUAUCUUCCAGUAGGGAGAUGUUUAGCAACUCUAGCCAUGUCCUUUGGGACUUUGGUUCUCAUUGGAAUAUACAUUUUCACUGGAAUAUGCAUUCACUUUGGCUUGAAUUUGAGGGGGAUUUCUUUGCAUGUAUGUGUUUGUGUGUGUGUGUGUGUGUGUGUGUGUGUGUGUGUGUGUGUGUGUGUGUGUAUGUGCGUGUGUGCAUGGGUGCGUGUGUCAGUGGGAAUUGGACCUAGAGCCUGUGUGUUAAGCAAGCACUUUACCACCUGGAAUAUAUCUCAAGCCCUGUUUGUACUUUGUAGUUUGACUCAGGAUCUUAUCGAGUUGCUUAGGCAGUGUGGAACUUGUGAUCCUUCUGCCUCAGCCUCACAAGUAGCUGGAAUUGCAGACUUACAUGAUCAGGAAUGGUGUUUUUGCUUAUUUGUUUAAUUUGACCUCAAGGGGUUUUUUGCUAUUUCAAAUGACCCAAAUAGCAUCUGACAAUGCUCUUAACACAUUAGAUCAAACCCAGAAGAAUGUAUUUGUGUGUGUGUGUGUGUGUGUGUGUGUGUGUGUGUGUAUGUGUUUAUUUCUAUAUAUGGUUAUGAAGUUUUUCUUGCUGCUGUUUUACCUAAAGAUAAAUGAAAAUCUUCCUCCAAGACACUAGAUUAGUGGGUACUCUAUUCCCUCCAAACGUGUAUCUGUAUAAUGUUUCCUAUAGGUACAUGCACAAAUGUAAUGUUUCUUCCAUUGCAUUCACUCACUUAUCAGGGGUUGUGACUUUAACCUAUGCACCUUGAAGUAGAACAGCAAAACUGCUACCAACUUUUCCCAUUGUAUGGUUUUGGCUUCUUUGUCAAAAAUCAAGUGUCUUGUAGGAAGUGUGGGUGUAUUUCAGCGUCUUCUACUCUAGUCCAUUGAUCAACCUGUCUGUGCCUAUACGAGUACUGUGCAGUUUUUAUCACCAUUGCCCUGUAGUACUGCUUGAAGUCAAGGAUGAUGAGACCCCCAGAAGUUCUUUUAUUGUACAGGAUUGUUUUAGCUAUCCUGAAUUAUCUGUUUUUCCACAUGAAGUUGAAAAUUGUUCUUUCAUGCUCUGUGUAUUGUGCUGGGAUUUUGAUGGGAAUUGCAUUGAACCAAACUGUUUUAAG
rnacentral:lncRNA from 1 species